rnacentral:rRNA from 1 species
CCUACGGGUGGCAGCAGUCGAGAAUCAUUCACAAUGGGGGAAACCCUGAUGGUGCGACGCCGCGUGGGGGAAUGCAGGUCUUCGGAUUGUAAACCCCUGUCAUGUGGGAGCAAAGUAAAAAGAUAGUACCACAAGUGGAAGUGCCGGCUAACUCAGGGUCAGCAGCCGCGGUAAUACAGGGGUCUCAAGCGUUGUUCGGAAUCACUGGGCGUAAAGCGUGCGUAGGCUGUUUCGUAAGUCGAGUGUGAAAGGCGCGGGCUCAACCCGCGGACGGCACAUGAUACUGCGAGACUAGAGUGAUGGAGGGGGAAGCGGAAUGCGCGGUGUAGCAGUGAAAUGCGUAGAUAUCGAGAAGAACACUGGUGGCGAAGGCGGGUUCCUGGACAUUAACUGACGCUGAAGCACGAAGGCCAGGGGAGCGAAAGGGAUUAGAUACCCGAGUAGUC